rnacentral:lncRNA from 1 species
CAUUAUUAAAAAUCAUAUGAACUUACAAUUGCUCAUAAUAUCCAUAAUCAUAGAAAUCACAUUUAUGCAUGAUAAUUCAAUGCACUUCAUGUACCAUAGACAUAUUUUUAAAUCAAUUCAUAAACUUGGUACCAUAAACAUUUAAUUUAACAUAAUUCAAUUAAUUUACUAAAUUUAACUUUUAAAUAUAAAUUACAACAUUAUUGCAGUAUUAUUAUCAUACCAACUUACCUCAAAUGCUGAAACGGAUAACUUUCCUAACUUAGCACAUAACUUUGUUCUUC